rnacentral:rRNA from 1 species
AGUGAACGCUGGCGGUAGGCCUAACACAUGCAAGUCGAACGGCAGCACAGUAAGAGCUUGCUCUUACGGGUGGCGAGUGGCGGACGGGUGAGGAAUACAUCGGAAUCUACUUUUUCGUGGGGGAUAACGUAGGGAAACUUACGCUAAUACCGCAUACGACCUACGGGUGAAAGCAGUGGAUCUUCGGACCUUGCGCGAUUGAAUGAGCCGAUGUCGGAUUAGCUAGUUGGCGGGGUAAAGGCCCACCAAGGCGACGAUCCGUAGCUGGUCUGAGAGGAUGAUCGGCCACCCUGGAACUGAGACACGGUCCAGACUCCUACGGGAGGCAGCAGUGGGGAAUAUUGGACAAUGGGCGCAAGCCUGAUCCAGCCAUACCGCGUGGGUGAAGAAGGCCUUCGGGUUGUAAAGCCCUUUUGUUGGGAAAGAAAAGCAGCAGGUUAAUACCCCGCUGUUCUGACGGUACCCAAAGAAUAAGCACCGGCUAACUUCGUG